UACGAAGGGGGCUAGCGUUGUUCGGAUUUACUGGGCGUAAAGCGCACGUAGGCGGGAUCGUUAAGUCGGGGGUGAAAUCCUGGAGCUCAACUCCAGAACUGCCUUCGAUACUGGCGAUCUUGAGUCCGGAAGAGGUGAGUGGAACUCCUAGUGUAGAGGUGGAAUUCGUAGAUAUUAGGAAGAACACCAGUGGCGAAGGCGGCUCACUGGUCCGGUACUGACGCUGAGGUGGCGAAAGCGGUGGGGAGCAAACAGG
rnacentral:rRNA from 1 species